UUGGCAACGAACGAUAUUCUUUCCAGACAUCUUUCGAUUUUGUACGCCAUAAAAACUUUACAGUGAUGAAAAGAUGAGAUCAAGCUGGUAUACAUGUCAAUUAGCACUAUCAUGAACACUUUACAAGAUAGAUGUAUUUUUCAAUCGGCAUCUCCUUCCUCAUCGACGUACAAGACACAUAAGUCU
ensembl:ncRNA T19D2.9 ncRNA